UCUCCUUCUAUCUCUCUUUCCCUCUCUAUUAAUUUUCAGUUUCCCGUAGACAUAUGGUUCCUCUUUUCCUCUCUAGCAUCUAGAUCUGAAUUUAUACAAUCAUAGACACACUUUAAAGACCCUUCCGAUGCAAUGGCAGACUUCAAGGAAAAGCGAUGGUGCUUCUACUUCAGUGGAUUAGAGUGAAUGGGCAUCUCAGUUGGAGUAGAGAAAGGGGUUAACUUCUUAAGCCAAGUUCGUUUAAGUCACGAGGGAGAUGGGCCGAAAGUGGCAAAGCGUUUAAUCGAGGUGUAUUUUGCACUAUUUAAGGUAUUGAUUUCUGAUGCCAAUAGGGAGCAUGGGACGAACAAAUGCAGUAAAGAAAAAGCUAGAAAAAUUUCUAGUUCAAAAUGUAAUCCAAAGAAUACUCCUCCAGAAUCUCACGUUGAGAUGGAUUCCCGGUUAUUAACAGCUCUUUUAACAGGUGUGAAUAGAGCAUUUCCUUUUGUUUCUAGCGAUGAAUCUGACAAGAUUAUUGAAACCCAGACGCCAAUCUUAUUUCAGCUGGUUCAUUCUAGGAGCUUUAAUGUGGGAGUUCAAGCAUUAAUGCUUCUUGACAAGAUCUCUACCAGAAAUCAAAUUGUUAGUGAUAGAUUCUACCGAGCCUUAUAUUCAAAACUCUUGCUACCAACUGCCAUGAACUCUUCAAAGAGGAAAUAUUUAUUGGGCUACUUCUAAGGGCGAUGAAAAAUGACAUCAAUCUAAGGAGGGUCGCUGCUUUCUCUAAGCGUUUGUUACAGGUUGAUGGUGGAUUGUAGUAAACCUGGCUAUGAAGCUCUUAGAAGCUACUUCGAUUAUGGACUUCGCCAAUUCAUGCAAACAUGAUACUCAUUAUAUAUCGGCAGAGGGUCUAUCUUAACAUUUGUUAUCCCUGGCAAUUUUGGUUGUACAUAUUAAAGCCUAA